rnacentral:rRNA from 1 species
AUGGGCAUAUCUUUUGGAAGCUGCAAGCUGCCGGAUGAGCAAUACUACAAGCAUUUGGAUGAUGAAAAGAAGUAUUUCUUGGUGCUUAUGUUGGGUGAUUUCCAAGAUUCGAUGAUAAUCCCGGAAGAAGUUGUGCGGCGCUUGAAAGGUGAGAUCCCAGGAGAGAUCAAGCUAGAAACCCGAAAUGGUUACGGUCACACUAUUGUGGUUGCCAAGAACCAAGAAAAGCUUGUUCUUACAGUGGGUUGGCGGCAAUUCAUCGAAAACUAUGAUCUACAGAUUGGUGAUUCCUUAAUGUUCAGAUACAAAGGGAACUCUCAGUUUAAUGUCAUGACCUUUGAUAAGCUUGGUCGUGAAAAAGCAUUAUCAGUUGUUCUGGAUCCUUUUUUGCAUCGGGUCCAAGACAAGCGCAACGAGGCACAUGAAAUCGGGUCUUCUAAAAAGAUGGAUGUGCCUUCGGAAAGAUGCAAGAGCCGGACUGAAUAUCACUACGCAAACUUGGAUGAUGAGAAGAAAUAUUUCUUGGUGCAUAUGAUGGGCGAUUUUCAACAGGAGAUGAUCAUCCCAGAAGUAUUUGUUCAGCGCUUCAAGGGCGAAUUCCCAAGAGAGAUGAUACUUGAAACACAAAAUUGCCACAGUUACGUAAUUGGAGUUGCCAAGAACAAUGGAAAUCUUGUCCUUACAGUGGGAUGGGGGAAAUUUGUUGGGACCUUUGGUCUAGAGAUGGGUGACACCAUAGUAUUUAGAUACAUUGGGAACUCUCGAUUUAAUGUCAUAAUCUUUGAUGAACUUGGCUGUGAGAAGGUAUCAUCAGUUUUUGUGGAUCCUUCUCCACCUCCUGCGCAAGAAAGACGAAUAAGUGCUACUGAUACUGUGAAAAGUUCUCAUUUUCGUCCUCAGGCCAUACAAACGCAGCCAUUUAGCAUAGGGAAAGAGAUGCCAAUGGAGUCACCACGCCUCCAAAUGGAAACGGACAAGUCAUGUCAAGACAAGAACACCGUGAUAAGUACUUCCUCCUGCGAGUCAUCAGGAGAUUGUUUCUCCUCUGAAGAAGAAUAUGGAGUACGUGAAGAUGAAGAAGAAUAUGGAGUACGUGAAGUGCCUGGUUCCAAUUUCACCGUCAGGAAGAAGAAGGUCAGGCUAUCUUCAAUUCAGAAGGAGCAGUUGAAGGAUGGUUACAUUACCGUGAACAAGACCAAACUAACUCCAGCUCAGAAGGAAGUUGUGAAGCAUAAGGUCCAUUCCAUAGACUCAGAGAUCCCCAUCUUUGCUGCUGUGAUGCGCAAGUCUAACCUCAAUUCAAGAUUCAAUCUGACUUUUCCCAGACACUAUGCUAAGAAAUAUCUCAGAGAGGAGCCAAGCAUGUGUCUUCGGCGGCGGGAAAGGAAGUGGGGGGUGCGGUUCGGUGAAAACAAUGGUGGUAAUAAGCUCAGGAUCGGAUGGAAGCAGUUUGUAGAAGGCAACAAGCUGAAGAUGGGCGAUAUCUGCCUCUUUAAACUGUUGACCGAUGAGAGGGGAACCAUGACGGUCUUUAUCAUCCGCGCGAAAUUUGUCAAUUACUGGGCACGUCUCAGUGAUGCUGACCGUGAAGCAGCGUUCCAGAGAGGGGCUCUUGCUCAUCAGGCUGAUGGGGCGCGUGCUCCUGUCUCAAGGUUGCUUCACAUCGCUAAAACUGAAGCUAUGGAGGAUGAUGUUGUUGCCCCUGAGUGCCUGAUCGCUGAAGCAAAAAUCUGGCGUGGUGUGGGUUAA